rnacentral:rRNA from 1 species
GCCAACGUCCACACCACGUUGAACACACCGGUUCUCGUCCGAUCACCGAAGUUAAGCAACGUCGGGCGCGGUCAGUACUUGGAUGGGUGACCGCCUGGGAACACCGCGUGAUAUUGGCUUUU